CAAUAGCGUAUAUUAACGUUGUUGCAGUUAAAAAGCUCGUAGUUGGAUUUCUGGAGGGAGCGUCGGCCCGUAUUUAAGAGUGCGUGACGUCUCUGUCCAUCCUUGCGGGAAGGCACGGCAUUGAUUUGUUGUGUCGGAUCGCAUCAUUUACUGUGAAAAAAUUAGAGUGUUCAAAGCAGGCUUUCGCUUGAAUACAUUAGCAUGGAAUAAUAAGAUAGGACUUUGGUGCUAUUUUGUUGGUUGAGCCUAAAGUAAUGAUUAAUAGGGAUAGUUGGGGGCACCUGUAUUGCGUUGUCAGAGGUGAAAUUCUUGGAUUUACGCAAGACAAACAGCUGCGAAAGCGUCUGCCAAGGAUGGUUUCAUUAA
rnacentral:rRNA from 1 species